UGUAUACAAAUAUAAACUACCAUUUAGAUUUUAUUGCUUUGCUGGUCCAUAUUUUCUCUUAUGGAAUAUUUAACUGAUUAUAUGGCAUACUGUAUAUACGGUAUACGACCAUUUUGAUUGUAUUGUUAUGUAAGUUAAUGAUUUCUCCUGUGAAACAUCUUGACUGAUUGUAUACACUAUUUUAUAUACUGUAUAAACCUGGAGUCUUCCAUUUUGUUUGUAUUGCUAUGUUGAUUUAUGUUUUCAUUUGUGUAACAUUUUACUGAUUGUAUGACAUAUUUCAUAUAUUGUAUACACAAACAGACUUCCAUUUUGAUUCUGUUGCUAUGUGAAUCAUAGUAAUUUGUGUGUAUGUACUAUUUUAUAUGUUUUUGCCAACAUGACAAGCCCCUAUAUUUUCUUAUUUUGUUGUGAUGUUGGGGUACUGUCGUAUACCAAAAUAUGAACUGCAUCAGAUAGAAAUUGACCUAAUGCAAUUGCAUGCAUAUAUACAUUAUACAUGUAUAGACUUUGUCCUACCCAUUUUAAUUGAUAUCUUGAAUAAACAUAAAAUAGAUUUGUUUAAAUAUUUUUAUUGUUUUUUUUACCUAGCUUUGAAUCUAUGUGAAAUGUAUAACUCACAUUGAUUUUUGCUUUUAUAUUACAUCUUAUGACGAGGUACAUAAUAUACAGGAUAUAAUAUACAGGGUAACGAUGUUCAGUAAGAACCUUGCACCAAAACAUAGUAAAUCAGGAAUGGCGACUUAAUGUGUACACUGUUGUUUGAAAUUUAUUUGUAUCUCUCCUUAAAAAAAGUUAUGAAGAUACAAGAGUGUAUGACCACCUUGCUAUGUUUAAGUAUGACUUAUAUUUGUUUCGUCAUUCUUAAAGAUAUUGUAAAGUAAAAAAUCUAUAGAGAAUGAAUUUUUACCAUGACAGCUCCCUUUCUGAAAGAAAUCAUUGUCCACAUGUAGACGAUGCAGACUGUGAAUAAUGGAUAACAACUUAAUUCCUUGUUAAAUUAUAAAAUAAUAUCAAAAUCGAUCUCCAAAUUGUGUAAUGAACGGUUUCUUGUAUCUGUAUUGUUUACAUUAUAAUAUAGAAAUACAUUUUGUCGAUAUAAUUAUAAUCAUAAUAAAA
rnacentral:lncRNA from 1 species